GCUUGUUGGGGUUGUAGGACACUCUAUACGGAGUUACAAAGGACGACAUUAGACGAAUCAUCUGGAAAGAUGAAUCAAAGAAGGUAAUAAUCCUGUAGUCGAAAAUGUUGUCUCUCUUGAGUGGAUCCUGAGUACGACGGAGCACGUGAAAUUCCGUCGGAAUCUGGGAGGACCAUCUCCUAAGGCUAAAUACUCUCUAGUGACCGAUAGUGAACCAGUACCGUGAGGGAAAGGUGAAAAGCACCCCGGAAGGGGAGUGAAAUAGAACCUGAAACCGUGUGCUUACAAGUAGUCAGAGCCCGUUAAUGGGUGAUGGCGUGCCUUUUGUAGAAUGAACCGGCGAGUUACGAUUUGAUGCAAGGUUAAGCAGUAAAUGUGGAGCCGUAGCGAAAGCGAGUCUGAAUAGGGCGUUUAGUAUUUGGUCGUAGACCCGAAACCAGGUGAUCUACCCUUGGUCAGGUUGAAGUUCAGGUAACACUGAAUGGAGGACCGAACCGACUUACGUUGAAAAGUGAGCGGAUGAACUGAGGGUAGCGGAGAAAUUCCAAUCGAACCUGGAGAUAGCUGGUUCUCUCCGAAAUAGCUUUAGGGCUAGCCUCAAGUGAUGAUUAUUGGAGGUAGAGCACUGUUUGGACGAGGGGCCCCUCUCGGGUUACCGAAUUCAGACAAACUCCGAAUGCCAAUUAAUUUAACUUGGGAGUCAGAACAUGGGUGAUAAGGUCCGUGUUCGAAAGGGAAACAGCCCAGACCACCAGCUAAGGUCCCAAAAUAUAUGUUAAGUGGAAAAGGAUGUGGCGUUGCCCAGACAACUAGGAUGUUGGCUUAGAAGCAGCCAUCAUUUAAAGAGUGCGUAAUAGCUCACUAGUCGAGUGACACUGCGCCGAAAAUGUACCGGGGCUAAACAUAUUACCGAAGCUGUGGAUUGUCCUUUGGACAAUGGUAGGAGAGCGUUCUAAGGGCGUUGAAGCAUGAUCGUAAGGACAUGUGGAGCGCUUAGAAGUGAGAAUGCCGGUGUGAGUAGCGAAAGACGGGUGAGAAUCCCGUCCACCGAUUGACUAAGGUUUCCAGAGGAAGGCUCGUCCGCUCUGGGUUAGUCGGGUCCUAAGCUGAGGCCGACAGGCGUAGGCGAUGGAUAACAGGUUGAUAUUCCUGUACCACCUAUAAUCGUUUUAAUCGAUGGGGGGACGCAGUAGGAUAGGCGAAGCGUGCGAUUGGAUUGCACGUCUAAGCAGUAAGGCUGAGUAUUAGGCAAAUCCGGUACUCGUUAAGGCUGAGCUGUGAUGGGGAGAAGACAUUGUGUCUUCGAGUCGUUGAUUUCACACUGCCGAGAAAAGCCUCUAGAUAGAAAAUAGGUGCCCGUACCGCAAACCGACACAGGUAGUCAAGAUGAGAAUUCUAAGGUGAGCGAGCGAACUCUCGUUAAGGAACUCGGCAAAAUGACCCCGUAACUUCGGGAGAAGGGGUGCUCUUUAGGGUUAACGCCCAGAAGAGCCGCAGUGAAUAGGCCCAAGCGACUGUUUAUCAAAAACACAGGUCUCUGCUAAACCGUAAGGUGAUGUAUAGGGGCUGACGCCUGCCCGGUGCUGGAAGGUUAAGAGGAGUGGUUAGCUUCUGCGAAGCUACGAAUCGAAGCCCCAGUAAACGGCGGCCGUAACUAUAACGGUCCUAAGGUAGCGAAAUUCCUUGUCGGGUAAGUUCCGACCCGCACGAAAGGCGUAACGAUUUGGGCACUGUCUCAACGAGAGACUCGGUGAAAUCAUAGUACCUGUGAAGAUGCAGGUUACCCGCGACAGGACGGAAAGACCCCGUGGAGCUUUACUGUAGCCUGAUAUUGAAAUUCGGCACAGCUUGUACAGGAUAGGUAGGAGCCUUUGAAACGUGAGCGCUAGCUUACGUGGAGGCGCUGGUGGGAUACUACCCUAGCUGUGUUGGCUUUCUAACCCGCACCACUUAUCGUGGUGGGAGACAGUGUCAGGCGGGCAGUUUGACUGGGGCGGUCGCCUCCUAAAAGGUAACGGAGGCGCUCAAAGGUUCCCUCAGAAUGGUUGGAAAUCAUUCAUAGAGUGUAAAGGCAUAAGGGAGCUUGACUGCGAGACCUACAAGUCGAGCAGGGUCGAAAGACGGACUUAGUGAUCCGGUGGUUCCGCAUGGAAGGGCCAUCGCUCAACGGAUAAAAGCUACCCCGGGGAUAACAGGCUUAUCUCCCCCAAGAGUUCACAUCGACGGGGAGGUUUGGCACCUCGAUGUCGGCUCAUCGCAUCCUGGGGCUGUAGUCGGUCCCAAGGGUUGGGCUGUUCGCCCAUUAAAGCGGUACGCGAGCUGGGUUCAGAACGUCGUGAGACAGUUCGGUCCCUAUCCGUCGUGGGCGUAGGAAAUUUGAGAGGAGCUGUCCUUAGUACGAGAGGACCGGGAUGGACAUACCUCUGGUGUACCAGUUGUCGUGCCAACGGCAUAGCUGGGUAGCUAUGUGUGGACGGGAUAAGUGCUGAAAGCAUCUAAGCAUGAAGCCCCCCUCAAGAUGAGAUUUCCCAACUUCGGUUAUAAGAUCCCUCAAAGAUGAUGAGGUUAAUAGGUUCGAGGUGGAAGCAUGGUGACAUGUGGAGCUGACGAAUACUAA
rnacentral:rRNA from 1 species